rnacentral:rRNA from 1 species
GAUGAACGCUGGCGGCGUGCUUAACACAUGCAAGUCGAACGGAAAGGCCCAAGCUUGCUUGGGUACUCGAGUGGCGAACGGGUGAGUAACACGUGGGUGAUCUGCCCUGCACUUCGGGAUAAGCCUGGGAAACUGGGUCUAAUACCGGAUAGGACCACUUCUUGGAUGUUGUGGUGGAAAGUUUUUUCGGUGUGGGAUGAGUUCGCGGCCUAUCAGCUUGUUGGUGGGGUAAUGGCCUACCAAGGCGUCGACGGGUAGCCGGCCUGAGAGGGUGUACGGCCACAUUGGGACUGAGAUACGGCCCAGACUCCUACGGGAGGCAGCAGUGGGGAAUAUUGCACAAUGGGCGCAAGCCUGAUGCAGCGACGCCGCGUGGGGGAUGACGGCCUUCGGGUUGUAAACUCCUUUCGCUAGGGACGAAGCGUUUUGUGACGGUACCUGGAGAAGAAGCACCGGCUAACUACGUG